rnacentral:tRNA from 1 species
UGGAGUGUAGCUCAGUGGUAGAGCACUUGCCUAGCAUGUAUGAGAUCUCGGAUUCAAUCCUCAGCACAGCAG